CGAAGGUGUUCCAGGAAAUAGCUCCACCGUAUAAACCGUACCCGAAACCGACACAGGUGGACUGGUAGAGAAUACCAAGGCGCUUGAGAGAACUCGGGUAAAGGAACUAGGCAAAAUGGUGCCGUAACUUCGGGAGAAGGCACGCUGGCAGUAAGUGAAGCCCCUGCGGGUGGAGCUGAGACCAGUCGAAGAUACCAGGCCCCUGCGACUGUUUAUUAAAAACACAGCACUGUGCAAACACGAAAGUGGACGUAUACGGUGUGACGCCUGCCCGGUGCCGGAAGGUUAAUUGAUGGGGUUAGCGCUUGCGCGAAGCUCUUGAUCGAAGCCCCGGUAAACGGCGGCCGUAACAAUAACGGUCCUAAGGUAGCGAAAUUCCUUGUCGGGUAAGUUCCGACCUGCACGAAUGGCGUAACGAUGGGGGCGCUGUCUCUACCCGAGACUCAGUGAAAUUGAAAUCGCCGUGAAGAUGCGGUGUAUCCGCGGCUAGACGGAAAGACCCCGUGAACCUUUACUAUAGCUUCACAGUGAACUUUGAGCAUGUUUGUGUAGGAUAGCUGGGAGGCUUUGAAGUGGGAACGCCAGUUCUCAUGGAGCCAACCUUGAAAUACCAGCCUGACAUGUUUGAGGUUCUAACUUGGUCCCCUUAUCGGGGAUGAGGACACUGUGUGGUGGGUAGUUUGACUGGGGCGGUCUCCUCCCAAAGCGUAACGGAGGAGCACGAAGGUUGGCUAAUCCUGGUCGGACAUCAGGAGGUUAGUGCAAUGGCAUAAGCCAGCUUAACUGCGAGACAGACACGUCGAGCAGGUACGAAAGUAGGUCAUAGUGAUCCGGUGGUUCUGUAUGGAAGGGCCAUCGCUCAACGGAUAAAAGGUACUCCGGGGAUAACAGGCUGAUACCGCCCAAGAGUUCACAUCGACGGCGGUGUUUGGCACCUCGAUGUCGGCUCAUCGCAUCCUGGGGCUGAAGCCGGUCCCAAGGGUAUGGCUGUUCGCCAUUUAAAGUGGUACGCGAGCUGGGUUUAGAACGUCGUGAGACAGUUCGGUCCCUAUCUGCCGUGGACGUUGGAGAUUUGAGGAAAGC
rnacentral:rRNA from 14 species